AUGCUCUCAUCAGUGCUGCUGCUGCUCACAGCUGCAUUCUGUGGUGUUGGUGCUGUGGAGCUCAGUCAGUCAGCCUCUGUGCUCGUGAAACCUGGAGAGUCGUUCUCCAUCUCUUGUAAGACCUCAGAUUCGAGCUAUUGUAUUACCUGGAUACGACAACCUGCUGGGAAAGCUCUUGAAUGGCUGGGAUAUCUGUGUAGUGGUGGUAGCACGAAUCUCAAAGAUACAGUGAAGAGCAAGAUCAGUUUCAGCCAGGACACAUCCAGCAGAACAGUUUAUUUAAGAGGACAAAACUCUCAGACCGAGGACACGGCUGUGUAUUACUGUGCCAGAGACACACAGCACUACAGACUCCCUGCAGCCCUCACCGUGCUUAUCUCGAGAGGAAGCGGUUCUCAUUCGUCCUCCUUCAACACGAACAUGUUUGCUUCAGCUCCACUGCUGCUGCUGGCUCUCGCCCCCUAUGUGUUCUGUGCUACUGAGCUCAUCCAGCCAGACUCAGUGGUGAUAAAGCCAGGAGAGACUUUAACCCUCACCUGUAGAGUGUCUGGAGCUUCGAUCACUGAUAGCAGCAGCCACUUUGGAACAGCUUGGAUUCGACACCCUGCAGGAAAACCUUUGGAAUGGAUCAAUAUUAUUUAA